GACGUAGGGAGCUAGCGUUAUCCGGAAUCACUGGGCGUAAAGCGUGUGUAGGCGUCCCGAUAAGUUUUCAUUUAAAGACCAAGGCUCAACCUUGGGACUGGUGAAAAUACUGUUGGGAUAGAGGCUUACAGAGGCAGGUGGAAUUCCCGGUGGAGUAGUGAAAUGCGUUGAUAUCGGGAGGAACACCAAUGGCGAAGGCAGCCUGCUAGGUAAGUCCUGACGCUGAGACACGAAAGCACCGGGAGCGAACGGG
rnacentral:rRNA from 1 species